CCAUUUUUUUGGAAGGAAAGGGUUUGAAAAGUUCCGAUGCAGCGGAUAAAUUUUCCCCGCCUAUGGACCGAAGCGGUGUCCGGCGCGGGAAUUCAGACCAUGCGAAUUGCUGACAGACAGCCA
rnacentral:rRNA from 1 species